GGGACCCGCACAAGCGGUGGAUGAUGUGGUUUAAUUCGAUGCAACGCGAAAACCUUACCUACCUUUGACAUGUACGGAAUUCGCCAGAGAUGGCUUAGUGCUCGAAAGAGAACCGUAACACAGGUGCUGCAUGGCUGUCGUCAGCUCGUGUCGUGAGAUGUUGGGUUAAGUCCCGCAACGAGCGCAACCCUUGUCAUUAGUUGCUACAUUUAGUUGGGCACUCUAAUGAGACUGCCGGUGACAAACCGGAGGAAGGUGGGGAUGACGUCAAGUCCUCAUGGCCCUUAUAGGUAGGGCUACACACGUCAUACAAUGGAUGGUACAAAGGGUCGCCAACCCGCGAGGGGGAGCCAAUCCCAUAAAACCAUUCGUAGUCCGGAUCGCAGUCUGCAACUCGACUGCGUGAAGUCGGAAUCGCUAGUAAUCGUGGAUCAGAAUGUCACGGUGAAUACGUUCCCGGGUCUU
rnacentral:rRNA from 1 species